rnacentral:rRNA from 1 species
AUAGCUUGAUCCUGGCUCAGGAUGAACGCUAGCGGCAGGCUUAAUACAUGCAAGUCGAGGGGUAACAGGGGAGCUUGCUCCCGCUGACGACCGGCGCACGGGUGCGUAACGCGUAUGCAAUCUGCCUCAAACUGGAGAAUAGCCCCGAGAAAUCGGGAUUAAUGCUCCAUAGUACUAUGAAAAGGCAUCUUUUUAUAGUUAAAGCUCCGGCGGUUUGAGAUGAGCAUGCGUGCCAUUAGCUUGUUGGUGAGGUAACGGCUCACCGAGGCUGCGAUGGCUAGGGGGUCUGAGAGGAUGAUCCCCCACACUGGUACUGAGACACGGACCAGACUCCUAUGGGAGGCAGCAGUAAGGAAUAUUGGUCAAUGGACGAAAGUCUGAACCAGCCAUGCCGCGUGGAGGAUGACAGCUCUAGUAGUUGUAAACUUCUUUUGUACGGGAAUAAACCUCCGAAUGCGUUCGGAGCUGAAGGUACCGUAAGAAUAAGCAUCGGCUAACUCCGUGCCAGCAGCCGCGGUAAUACGGAGGAUGCAAGCGUUAUCCGGAUUCACUGGGUUUAAAGGGUGUGCAGGCGGAUUGAUAAGUCAGUGGUGAAAUUCUACAGCUUAACUGUAGAACUGCCAUUGAUACUGUCAGUCUAGAGUAUGGUUGAAGUGGCUGGAAUGUGUCAUGUAGCGGUGAAAUGCAUAGAUAUGACACAGAACACCGACGGCGAAGGCAGGUCACUAAACCAUUACUGACGCUCAUACACGAAAGCGUGGGGAGCAAACAGGAUUAGAUACCCUGGUAGUC